CCUACGGGAGGCAGCAGUGAGGAAUAUUGGUCAAUGGUCGGGAGACUGAACCAGCCAAGCCGCGUGAGGGAGGAAGGUACAGAGUAUCGUAAACCUCUUUUGUCAGGGAACAAAGGCGGGGACGUGUCCCCGGAUGAGUGUACCUGAAGAAAAAGCAUCGGCUAACUCCGUGCCAGCAGCCGCGGUAAUACGGAGGAUGCGAGCGUUAUCCGGAUUUAUUGGGUUUAAAGGGUGCGCAGGCGGACUGUAAAGUCCGCGGUAAAAGCCCGGGGCUCAACCCCGGCCCGCCGUUGAAACUGGCAGUCUCGAGUGGGAGAGAAGUAUGCGGAAUGCGCGGUGUAGCGGUGAAAUGCAUAGAUAUCGCGCAGAACUCCGAUUGCGAAGGCAGCAUGCCGGCGCCACACUGACGCUGAGGCACGAAAGCGUGGGUAUCGAACAGGAUUAGAUACCCUAGUAGUC
rnacentral:rRNA from 1 species